CCGGCACGGGUGAGUAACACGUAUCCAACCUGCCGUCUACUCUUGGACAGCCUUCUGAAAGGAAAGAUUAAUACAAGAUGGCAUCAUGAGUCCGCAUGUUCACAUGAUUAAAGGUAUUCCGGUAGACGAUGGGGAUGCGUUCCGUUAGAUAGUAGGCGGGGUAACGGCCCACCUAGUCUUCGAUGGAUAGGGGUUCUGAGAGGAAGGUCCCCCACAUUGGAACUGAGACACGGUCCAA
rnacentral:rRNA from 1 species